AGAGCCUCCCUCCAAGGCUGCCUGGCUGUAGGCAUGAGCUCCUGUCCCUGAUGGUCUUGGUGACACCGGGCACAUGCUACCUGGGCUACUGAGAAGGGCUGGACAGUGCUGCCUGUCCAGCUCUCCAGAGCUAGCCUCAGGGCUGGGGAGGGGCCCUGUAGUUCAGGAGUCAGACCAAGUUGUGGCCCUGGGCACAGGUCACAGAAGCCUUUCUAACUCACAGUAGCCUCAGCUGGUCUGACCAGUCAGGUUUCUGUGGGCUUAGCUGCUGACCUGUGUGCUGAGGCCUCUCCUGUUCCCAUGGGCACCCUUUCAUACCCAAGCUGGACACCAAGCCUCCUGGCAGCUUGUCCCAACCUGCUAUUCCAUUAAGGCUGGUGCGGCAGGUUAAUCUGCCUCAGGUUAUGCCUGCUUCAAAGCUUUGCAGGACCUCAGUGUGGGCUGACUGGUGGAUGUGGACGGUGAUUGCGACCCUGCUCCUCCACCCCUGGCCCUGUGUCUCCAGAAGCUGAAGGCACAGGACCCCACACUGUGGUGAUCGAAGGCAGCAAGAGCCCAGCAUCCCUGCUCUUCCUCAGCCACCGGCCCGGGGAGCUCUGCCCGAGAUAGCCCACGAGUAGCCCAUGGCCUGGGGCUGCACUCCAGGCCUGCUGGACACCAGAAGCAGGACAGAAGCUUGACUGGUGCCUUCCUGGUGAUGGGCCCAAGGGAGGCAGCCCAGCCUGGCCUUUCUCUAACUCAGCACCAGGGUGAGGGUCGGCAGGACCAAGGCAGAUGGUGAGAGCUGUCAGAGAAGUGGGCCCAAGAGGUGGUCUGAGAGCCGGACAGCCUCUGGACCCCCCUAGGAGGGCAAAGGUGGCAGCGGGCAAGGAGGCCUGUGGCUCUGGAGGGGAGCAAGGCGCAGAGGCCAGGCUGGGGUCAAGGCAGGCAGGAGCUGUUGCUUGCCCUUCAGAGGCCUGUGAACUGGCUUCGGAAUCCUAGACAGUGGCUCUGGCUUCACGCCAGGACUCUGAACCAGGGGCCCAGGUGCUGGGCUCUGUUCAGGUGGUCCAUGGCGCCUAGUGCCCCAGUGAGCCAGCGGGUAUGGGCGAUGCUUCUAGAUUAAACUCAAGAAGAGGAACUUCCACAGGGUCUACCUGCCAGAUCAUGGCUCCCACUAGGCUCCCUGAUACCCUGAGCCACAGACCACACAGCCUGGCUGGCCAGGGGCCGUGGGGCCUCAGUGAAGGCUACACAAAGAGCCAGGCCCUCACUGCCUGCCUCUUGCCCCUGCUGUGGCAUCGUGGGAGAGCUCGCUCUGCUCUCCUGACCAGGGUCAACUGUCCUUAUCUACUGGUAUGUGGCCACUGUUGGGGAGCUGCCCACUGGCCAUGCUGUCACAGGCUGCCCAGUUGCUCAAGACACUGUGGGUCAUGGACCAGGCCAAAGGCCUCCCCUGGAAUGCUCUGGAGAUGUGGCUGAUGGCCCUUGGACCCCAAGGCUGCUGUCUGUCUCUCUGGAAGGAGAGGUCAGGGGUGGCAUGCGGGAAGCAUGCGCAGGGCAGGUUGGCAAGGCCAGGCCUGCAGCCAGCACUGAGGGCUGCCCACGGGACACCCGGCUGGGGGUGAGGCUCCUAGCUCUCUGCGACCUCCCUGCUGCCUCUUCUAGUCUGACUGCAGUCUCAGCGCACAGGCGGGCUGGGAGGGGCAGAGACCCCACGAACACCAAGUACAGGGUUGGAACCCAUGGUCCUGUGCAUGCUAAGCACAAGCUCUAACACUGAGCUACAUACCCCACCAAGAGACUCUCCUAACUGGAUAAAUGCCCCAUUGAGAAAGCACACAGUUCAUCAUAUUUAGUGAAGAAACUUCAGCCUCAUCCCCUUCGAGUUAGGGAAGGAGACAAGAUGGCCACUGUGAUCACUCCUAUUGUGGAGGUUCUAGGGGUCCAGGUCACUCCAAAAGGAAAGAGAAAGAAGUGAGUUAAGGCUUAGAAGAAGAAAUACAUGGCGGUAACAACCAUCUGCUCAGCAUGACAAGAAGCAAGGACAGACUGCUGACGGUGAUACGGAAGCUCAGCAAGGUGAGCGACAGUCUCUAACUGCAGGGUACCCAGAGACACCAGAGACAGCAAGAGACUCCAAACCAGCCUGUGGCCCAGUGUGGCCCAGUGUGUGGGGACAGAAGCCACACCAGUGCGUACUGUGGCGCCCAGGCCUGGAUGGAGACACCUGGUUUCAAGGGAGGCUCGGGCCACCAGCCACCUGCAGGCCGUGCUUCCUCAGGUAGUAGGCCUCCAAGACCAGCAGCCUCUCAGGAAGAAACCAAGUGGGUUUGUCCCCCACACUGAUUUAAAGAGCUCAUGUCCCAUCUGUCUUUCUCUCGCUCCCUGUCUGGUGCAGGAGGUUGAACUCAGGGCUUCUCACAUGCUAGGCAAGUGCUCUACUACGCCCACAACUAAGUGGUCCAGGUUGGCCUUGAACCUGGGGUUCUCCAGCCUCAGCCUGCAGAGUCACUGGGAUCGCAGGUGUGGGUCUCCUGUGCAGACCUGAAAUGGAGGCAGCUGGGAGGCGGCACUGUCCCUGCACACGGCCCCUGGGGCUGCCCAGGCACUCCCGGGAAGACUCCCUCUGCAGUCAUGACUUCCCUUGGGCUUCCCUAAGUGCCACAGGGCAGAAGAAUUAAGAGGCCUCCCGGGACCUGAGAGGAUCUGUGAUGGACCCAGACCUCCCACUGAGAACUGCCAGUGGGUGAGCCCAGGGGACCGCCUGGGCAAAGCCUGGACUAGGACUGCUGCUCGGGGAGCGUCAGGGGCCGCCAAGCACCUGUGCCUUUAAGGACACUUUGCUGAGGAGUACUUUCCCUCCGCUGGCUUAGAGAGUGCCUGUGCAGAGCUUCGCGCUACUUCUUGGGUGUUUUGAGGUGUGCAUUUCUUAUUUAGUCUGAGCACAAGAACCUAGUGUGCAUUCAGACAGUUCCCCUUAGACGGUGGCUUGUCUUCUCCUCUCCUGGACGCAUCAUUUCUAGGGAGAGCUUUAACUUCUUUUUAUCUUUGUUUUCCGCACUGGGAAUUGAACCCAGGCAGCUGGCCUCCACCACUGGGCCACACCCCCAGCCCCCCCCCCUUUUUUUUUUCAUUUUGAGACAGGGCCUGGCUCAGUCUCUGCAGCCUGACCUCGCAGCCUCCUGCCUCUGCCUCCUGAGCUGGGAUCGCAGUCCUGCCACCCUGCGACUCCCCCUCUUUUGUUUGCUUUACUUUAUGGAAGUGGCGGGGAAGGUGGGGUGGAAGCUGUCCAGUAGGCACCAGCCUUCCGUGGCCAGGAUGUGCGCUGCAGGUGCCACCGAGUGCCCUCUGCCUGUUCAAAGCUCCCUUCUAGGGCUGGGGCGGGGCUCAGUGGUGGAGCGCUCGCCUCGAACACAUGAGGCCCUGGGUUCGAUCCUCAGCACCAAACAAAAAUAAAUAAAAAUAAAGGCAUGUGUCUGUCUAUAACUAAGAAUAUUUUUAAAAGAAAUAAGGAAAAGAUCCCUUCUAGUCCUGAUUUUCUGGGAGUUGUUUUGGUUUUUGUUUAAAUCAUGAAUGCCUGUGAUGUGAUACAUAAUAAAUAUAUAGAUUGA